AGGAAACAGAAAUGGAGUCGAGUGAAGACGACAAAAAACACGAACACAUUCCUCUGCUGCCGCAGGUAAAAGGAAUAGAUUCUUUCAAAUAUGCAGACGAUGAUGACGAGGGAAGAGAAUUGAAAGAGAAGAAAACUGCAGACGAUAGUGUUGAGGAAACAAAAACGAAAGAGAAGAAAUAUCAAGAUGAUAGUAUUGAGGUUAGUCUUUUAACAAUACUAUGAGACUUUAAU